rnacentral:rRNA from 1 species
GACGAACGCUGGCGGCGUGCUUAACACAUGCAAGUCGAGCGAGGCUCCUCCUUCGGGAGGUGUCCUAGCGGCGAACGGGUGAGUAACACGUGGGCAACCUGCCCCUAGCACUGGGAUAACCCCGGGAAACCGGGGCUAAUACCGGAUACGACCUCUGAGGGCAUCCUCGGCGGUGGAAAGGGUUUCUGGCUAGGGAUGGGCCCGCGGCCUAUCAGCUUGUUGGUGGGGUGACGGCCUACCAAGGCGACGACGGGUAGCCGGCCUGAGAGGGCGACCGGCCACACUGGGACUGAGACACGGCCCAGACUCCUACGGGAGGCAGCAGUGGGGAAUAUUGCGCAAUGGGCGAAAGCCUGACGCAGCGACGCCGCGUGAGGGACGAAGGCCUUCGGGUUGUAAACCUCUUUCAGCUCCGACGAAGCGAAAGUGACGGUAGGAGCAGAAGAAGCACCGGCCAACUACGUGCCAGCAGCCGCCGUAAUAC